UUCAUCAUCGUCAUCUUCCUCCAUUUGAGAUCUUUGUUUGAUGAAAAACAGAAAAAAAAAAUGGGAGAAAACCAUAGAGGCAAUUUGCAAAACACUUGUGGGCGGACGGGGUUGGAGGGACGGUGGCCGGAGGCGGAGUUUCGGCUAGGGCCCCAAGGCGGCGGAGUACACCGUCAAGGCUGCCUAGGUGUCCGCACAGGCGGUUCCCGGCGUGGAGGCAACGAAAAAGCCGAUUCAUAGGGGCGGCGACGGCGGUUUAUUUCUCCGGUUCUGGCACCAUCUUACGGCUUGGGCUUGCUCUGGGGCUUGCCAUGCCAUCUCCAAGAUCCAUCGGUCCGAUUCAGGGCUGAAACACCGACCUCACGGGCGACCGGGCGGAGCUACAAGACGGCGGCCUCGUCGGCGGUGAAAAAGCCGAUUUCGGCGCCAUCAAAGGAAGAGAAGGUGCGGGAGAUGGCGUCGGGACGGGGGGAUGGCGGUGCGGUUCGAUUCUGCCGCCAGGGGGUCGACAACUUCGACGGGUGUGGCGGCGGCGAGGUGCGGGUGGGCGUCGUGAGGUGGGUCGAGCAGCUGCCUAAAUAUCCCGAGAAGCCACGCUGCCAGACUAAAACUAGGGAAAACCACUGCGAUUUAGGGGAAGAAAAGUUAUAUUUUUUAGGAUUAUACGGUUUGGCGAAUCUGCUAGAAAGGCAUUAAUCCCUCAAAACUGAAAAUUUCCCCUCAAAUAUAACUUUUGAGGGAUCUGCUAGAGAUAUUCUUAGGCAUGGUUCAACGGGGGCCAAAAGGGAAGGGAAAAUAAAAUAAAUACCUGAUCUUUCUCCCUCCAUACCAUUUUUUUCUCUCCCUGACACAUGUAUGUUUAUGUUCUAAGAUGAGUUUCUCUCACCUACUACGAUGAUGCUUAGUAAGCGGUUUUUGAACACAUUUAUCAUUUCUAGACUUGUUUGUUGAUCUUGCCGGGAUAGAGGGCUCCAUCGCUUUCCUGUUGUCUCAUAUUUCUGAUGUAUGAGCAUUUUAGCAUCGAUCAUUAGUUAAACCCCCACUAGCCUCUGAAGUUUUGUAGGCUGGUGCAUCCUUAUCUGCCCCCUGCUACUGAUAUAUUCUAUGCAUCUAUGGUUUAAUUAGCUUCUUCUUUAAAUAACCAGAGCAAUCUCAAUUGAAUCAUAAAGCAAGUACUUCGUAAUUGAAGUAUGAUUUUGUUUUUCUAUUUCGAUAUAUAUAUUCAGGCUGUAUGAGCCCAAAACAGUCCAGGUUUUAGAGUCAGAUUUUCUUCUGUACAUUGCCAUGCUGUGAUGGUCACCUUCCGUGGCAUGGGAAUAUUUUCUUGGUUGUUGGCUCUUAUCUAGCCUUCUAGGGUGUCUUAUGAAAUGCGAGCAUUGGAACCUGAGCAUUUGUUCAGGUUGAGAGGAACCUGUGCAGGUUGAAACUGGAAGAAAGGGGACAAUGCUCUCGGAAGACCUCAACAGGGAACACAGACACAUUGCUCAGGUAGCAGGGAUGACUGUCAACAUUCAUACAUACUCCCUCCGUCCCAAAAUAAGUGUCUCAACUUUGUACUAGCUCUAGUACAAAUUUGUACUAAGCUCAAGACACUUAUUUUGGGACGGAGAGAGUACUACACAGGCAAAUACACACAUGACAACAAAAGAUGACCAGGCAAAUACACACGAGACUGAGGACCUGAAUAAGGCUGACUUAACAUGGCGCUACAAACCAUUGCCUGGUGUUCCAUGAGGUGUAAAAUCUGGAGUUGUUUGGACUUCUGAACACGGGCUUAGAAACAUCACGAGAGCUAUCAAAAGGGCAGAAGUUGAAGCAACUCCUGUGAGCAGGAAGAGUCCUGAAAAGUUUUUGAAGUUUAGACUGCUUGAGCCGAUGGUGGUGCCGUCAUUCUGACAGGCAUG